GGUCUCGCGCGGACGCGCGCCUGGCUCCGCCCCCGAGCCUAACCGGCCGCGCGCCCCCAGCCCGAGCUGGGGCCGGCCCCGCGAGGCGCGGUGGGUACUUACUUGUGGAAAGAGACGGGCUUAUCCUUAUCGUAUCGGUUCUUGCAGCCGUAAGCGGAACAGGACUGCACCAUCCUUCUGAUCCUCGGUCGCUUCACUUCUGCCGUCCAGCAGGCAGAAGGACCACAGCCAUCUCCCAUCUCCCAUCUCCAAGAUGGCGGAGGCAGCUUCAACCUCACCUCUCGCGAGGAAUUCGUCCUGCUGUCUCUGAUUAGCCCUGAGGUCAGAGGUAACGGUCCCUGGGAAGCAGGCCAUUGGCUGACGCCCGGCGUGUCGCGUGAUGGGUUGAGCGUUGCGGAAGUGAGCGCGGCCUCCAAGCUUCCGGAAGUUUACCUUGGAACAGUCGCUGGGAGAGCGGAGUUUGAAUACAGUCCUCGGCUUUGCCGCCCCUGUUUUCUUGGAUUAAUUUAUCAGUGGUGGUUUAGAGUGGAGAGCAAUACGGUCUUUUGAGUCUGCUGUCCUACAGGAGGAAGGUGUAAAGCUGAUGUCGUUGGGUAAUUGUGCCCACUUCUUUAAAAGGGCAGCUAGUUGUAUAUGAUUUGUAAAAAUGUUGAUGGAAACAACCCAAAUGCCUCUUAUUAGGUGAAUGAAUAAAUUCUGGUAUAGUCAUACAAUGGAAUACUACACAGCACUCAAAAUAAAAACUUAACACACAAUAUGGGUGAUUCUUACAAAUGUUGAAUAAGUCACACAAAAUAGACUACAUGAUUCUAUUUUUUGUAGAGUAAUAAAAAAAAGUAGGUAAAACUAGUCAUAAGAGGUUACUUUUGGGAUAGAGGGAAUGAAGCGGGGCUUAAUGGGAUGGUGUUACUAUCUUUACUGAAGUGAUGGUUAAACUGUUCACUUUAUGAUAAUCAUCUGAUCCUUAAUUUAUAAAAUAAUGUACUUUAAUAAAACAGCUUAUUAAAUGGGCCGACAAUAUAUGCGAAACUGCCUUUUUUGAGAGAAUGAGAUGUUUAUAUACUCAUUUGAUAGCUUCGUUUGACCAGUAACUAUCAAAAAUGAAUGUAUGCCUUAGCUUUAUAUGACCAUUUAAGGGAAAGACGAUAAAUAGGGAUAAACUGAAGGUUAGUUAGAAGUUUGAUGUUUUUUAAGUCUUAAAGGGCCAAGAGCUAAUUAUUUACUAAUAUAACACUUUUUAAGGAAAAAAUAAAAUUUAACCCUUAACAUACAA